GGGCCAAUGGUCUAGUUGGUAUGAUAUUCGCUUCGCAUCAAACGCCAUUUCAUUACAAAUGGCUGAAAAAUGUGACUGUGAAAGGUCCGGGGUUCAAUUCCCCGUUGGUCCA
rnacentral:tRNA from 1 species